AGAGUUUGAUCAUGGCUCAGGAUGAACGCUGGCGGCGUGCCUAACACAUGCAAGUCGAGCGUGAAGUUUUGGAAUGGUACUUCGGUAAAGUGAAGGAACGGAAAGCGGCGGACGGGUGAGUAACGCGUAGGUAACCUGCCCCAUACACAGGGAUAGCCUAGGGAAACCUGGAUUAAUACCUGAUAAUGCGAAGGAGUCACAUGACUUUUACGCCAAAGAUUUAUCGGUAUGGGAUGGACCUGCGUCUGAUUAGUUAGUUGGUGAGGUAACGGCUCACCAAGGCAGCGAUCAGUAGCCGACCUGAGAGGGUAAUCGGCCACAUUGGAACUGAGACACGGUCCAAACUCCUACGGGAGGCAGCAGUGGGGAAUAUUGCACAAUGGGCGCAAGCCUGAUGCAGCAACGCCGCGUGAGCGAAGAAGGUCUUCGGAUCGUAAAGCUCUGUCCUUAGGGAAGAAACAAAUGACGGUACCUAAGGAGGAAGCCCCGGCUAACUACGUGCCAGCAGCCGCGGUAAUACGUAGGGGGCGAGCGUUAUCCGGAAUUAUUGGGCGUAAAGAGUACGUAGGUGGUUUUGUAAGCGUGGGGUGAAAGACCGAAGCUUAACUUCGGUUAGCCUUGCGAACUGCAAGACUUGAGUGCAGGAGAGGAAAGUGGAAUUCCUAGUGUAGCGGUGAAAUGCGUAGAUAUUAGGAGGAACACCAGUGGCGAAGGCGACUUUCUGGACUGUAACUGACACUGAGGUACGAAAGCGUGGGUAGCAAACAGGAUUAGAUACCCUGGUAGUCCACGCCGUAAACGAUGAGCACUAGGUGUGGGGGUCGCAAGGCUUCGGUGCCGCAGUUAACGCAUUAGGUGCUCCGCCUGGGGAGUACGCACGCAAGUGUAAAACUCAAGGAAUUGACGG
rnacentral:rRNA from 1 species